GAUGAACGCUGGCGGCGUGCCUAAUACAUGCAAGUCGAGCGAACGGACGAGAAGCUUGCUUCUCUGAUGUUAGCGGCGGACGGGUGAGUAACACGUGGAUAACCUACCUAUAAGACUGGGAUAACUUCGGGAAACCGGAGCUAAUACCGGAUAAUAUUUUGAACCGCAUGGUUCAAAAGUGAAAGACGGUCUUGCUGUCACUUAUAGAUGGAUCCGCGCUGCAUUAGCUAGUUGGUAAGGUAACGGCUUACCAAGGCAACGAUGCAUAGCCGACCUGAGAGGGUGAUCGGCCACACUGGAACUGAGACACGGUCCAGACUCCUACGGGAGGCAGCAGAAGGGAAUAUUCCGCAAUGGGCGAAAGCCUGACGGAGCAACGCCGCGUGAGUGAUGAAGGUCUUCGGAUCGUAAAACUCUGUUAUUAGGGAAGAACAUAUGUGUAAGUAACUGUGCACAUCUUGACGGUACCUAAUCAGAAAGCCACGGCUAACUACGUG
rnacentral:rRNA from 1 species